UUGCCACGGUCCUGCCAUGUUGCCCACUUCUCUGUGUUUGUGUUACAUACAUGUGCGUCCCUGUAGGCUGUGAAUUCCUUCCUCUAAUCAUCUUUGUAUCCCUUGCAGCAGUGUAUGGGGCUUUGAAAGCGGCACACUCGAUGGGUUAUGAUGUUAAAUAUGCUAGUCUAUAAACUUCUUUAUGUGCCUAAGAGAAAUAUUAAAUGAAUGAGACUGAGACUGAAGCACUUAUACCUUAAGAUGUUGCGGUAUGAAUUCUAUUGCGCACGUGCGUCUACUAAUAAAGCAGGGCACCGUGAGGAGAAAGGUAUCAGGCAGCCCAUCCUCCUGAAAUGCACUCCUUGGUGUCCCUGGAUUAUGACUUUUGGAACGUCUUACUAGUCUCUAAAGUCCUUGAGGGCAGGAACUGGUCUUUUCUUUAUUGGCUCUCUAGUGCCUACGUUUUCUGGCAUACAGUUCCUGAAACUUGAAAAAUACUUGUGAGAUUGUUGAAUGUGCUAAGUUCUCAGCAUUUCCUCUUAAAGUGCUGUCACUGGUGCUCACUACGGACCCCCAUACAGUUCUUAGAUGACAGACUGUAUCUGGCUUCGCUUCUGAGGUUUCCUUGUACUGGUCCGACAUUUUCUUCUCCUAACUCCAUUUCUUCCAGCUCCUGCUUUGCAUCAGGCAUAAUUCUAUGAUCAGAAGUACACCUGGGAGGAAGGAUCCAGAGGCUAUUCCAAGCUUGAAAGCAAAGUGAUAUCCUUAGGUUGGCCUUGGCUGUUUAAAGGACCUCUGGAUGGCGGAUGACUGGCUCUGCUCUGCACAGGACAGUUCCUUCUCAGGCUCAGCUGGAAUCUCUGGGAACAGUGGA